rnacentral:rRNA from 1 species
AACGAACGCUGGCGGCAUGCCUAACACAUGCAAGUCGAACGAGACCUUCGGGUCUAGUGGCGCACGGGUGCGUAACGCGUGGGAACCUGCCCUUAGGUUCGGAAUAACUCCCCGAAAGGGGUGCUAAUACCGGAUAAUGUCUUCGGACCAAAGAUUUAUCGCCUUUGGAUGGGCCCGCGUUGGAUUAGCUAGUUGGUAGGGUAAAAGCCUACCAAGGCGACGAUCCAUAGCUGGUCUGAGAGGAUGAUCAGCCACACUGGGACUGAGACACGGCCCAGACUCCUACGGGAGGCAGCAGUGGGGAAUAUUGGACAAUGGGGGAAAGCCUGAUCCAGCAAUGCCGGGUGAGUGAUGAAGGCCUUAGGGUUGUAAAGCUCUUUUACCCGGGAUGAUAAUGACAGUACCGGGAGAAUAAGCUCCGGCUAACUCCGUG